GUACGUUACCAUCUAAUCGAUGUCCAUCUUUUUCCUAAACAAUUGAUAUUUAUAUUCUAUAUUCUUUGAUAGAGCUUAUCAAAUUAAAGUUUAUAUCUCACAACUACUGGCCACACUUGUAAAAGGUAACAGGACACUUCGACCUAAUACAAGUCAGGCUCAAAUCAUGGGCAUACAUGUACUGAUCCAAACUCAAACCAGGGGCCCAUCUUUAGAAGGGGCAGGGCCUCAAAUUAAGAUUGUUUGGGAAAUUAUGCCAAAGUGCUUCAUUGUUGUAUGAAUCAUCAAGUAUCCAGUGCUAGAUGCUAAUAUCUUAGUUAUGUCAGUAGUAACUAAAUCCAAAGCAAAAGCUAAAGCUGAUGAAGAAGAUGAAGAUGAUGAGGAAGAAUCUGACAAGUCGAAGUCUGAAGUAAAUGAUGAAGAUAAUGAGGAUGUUUCCAGUAGCUCAUGGCUGUAUCCUAGCCAUUCGUUG